rnacentral:sRNA from 1 species
CCAACCUCUGGCCCAGGUUAAGCCCUCCCUGACCUGAUGGAUGGAUGCCUCGAAGGCCUGGAACCAUUUUGUCCUUUCUUGUGACUACUUGUCCAGAGCGUCAAAAUUUAACACUCAGUUAAGAAUGCCUGUUUAUUCCUAUGUGUACAUAUGUGACAAUGAUUAAUGAAGAGGCCAUGAAUCUGAAAGAUAGCAAGGGUCUAGGAUCCUUCCAAAUACAGCCACGGGAGUGUUUCUUGGUGAUUCUAAGUCCAGUGACGUUGACAAUGGUCAUCACUACUUGAUAAAGUGGUACAAACCUUGGCACCUCAUCUUCGGGACUUUCUCCAAUGAAACGUGCAAACCUGAGCUCAUCCAGUGGGGGAAGAUGCUUUGAGGAUAACUCAGGAAGAGCCAUGACAUCGACAGGCAACGGCAGCUGAACCCACCAUGUACGCCAUGGUCCCUCUAACAUAGCCCUGGCUAUUCCAGGGCUCACUGUGUCGUUGGCCUCGAAAUCACAGAUCUGCCUGCCUUUCCCUUCCAAGGCUGGGACUAAAGGAUCGUGCUGACACCCAGCGCCUCUUGGACUCUUGCUGUGGACUCUUGCCCUCCUGCCUUCUGCCUCGGAUGACACAAUAUGAAGACCCUCACCAGGGCCAUGCUGGCAAAAUGUGCUUGAGAUUUCCCGGCCUCCAGAACCAUUAGCUGUUAAAUAAAUGUCUGUUGUCUAUGAAGUA